rnacentral:rRNA from 1 species
UACGUAGGGGGCAAGCGUUGUCCGGAUUUAUUGGGCGUAAAGAGCGUGUAGGCGGCUAGAUAGGUCCGUUGUGAAAACUCGAGGCUCAACCUCGAGACGUCGAUGGAAACCAUCUGGCUAGAGUCCGGAAGAGGAGAGUGGAAUUCCUGGUGUAGCGGUGAAAUGCGUAGAGAUCCGGAGGAACACCAGUGGCGAAGGCGACACGCUGGGCCGUACCUGACACUGAUGCGCGACAGCAUGGGGAGCAAACAGG